rnacentral:antisense_RNA from 1 species
CUUGAUCGAGCCGAGCAGCAGCGGCCGAUCGGCGGGGCGGUCCUGCCCGUACGUGGCCAGCAGCGCCUGUGCCUC